rnacentral:other from 1 species
UACAAGCUGCGAUGUACGUAUGACAAUUAAGUUUUAACUCUAACUUUAGUAUAGGGAGUUUUACAUUGAGACUGGAAUGUCAGGCCUUCUAUGUAGAGGACGACAGGAACGUUUCUGCAAACACCCACUUUGAGAAGUGGUGUUUAAAACUUUUUAUAAAGAAUACGGCAUAUGUGGCACUUAA